UCUAAAAUGGCAGAUUAGUGCUAAGGACUUAAGAUCCUUAUAAAAAGGUUUAAAUCCUUUUUUUAGAA
rnacentral:tRNA from 1 species